rnacentral:tRNA from 1 species
GCCGGGAUGGCGGAACUGGUAAACGCACGGGACUCAAAAUCCCGCGAUAGUAAUAUCUUGUCGGUUCAAUUCCGACUCCCGGUA